GUCCCUCAGAAAAAAAUCUGAGCAGUUUCUCUAAUCAUUGGGUGACUUUGGCAGCAGCCCCUGCAGGUAUCUGGAUCCAUCUCUAUCAGUGGCUCUAAGCACCAACCUUCAAUGGCUGCCUGCCUCAGUUUACCCACCACUUGGAUGUCAAAGCUGGUCAUUAGCAAUUUAAUGCAGGAUUGCUGUCUUCAUACUACUUGAACUCAACUCCUCUUCCAAGGCCUGCUUCUUGUGAAAUCUAAGACUCUCCUAUGAAUGGACUGGAUAAAGAGAACGGAAUACUCCAGCCUGUGUUUCCCUCCAUUAUACCCAGAAUGCUUUAAGCCUGGAAGCAUUUUUGUGCUUGGGGAAUUUGUUUAGCCAGAAGGAAUGAAUAAGAUGCUUUAAAAAUCUUUCUACUCCCUGAUUGUUCUAGGCUCCAUUUUGCUGUUAAAUAGGCAAAUGCAUGGAACUAGAAAAUAUCAUCUUGACUGAGGAAACCCAGACACAAAGGAACACACAUAGUAUAUACUCACUGAUAAGUGGAUAUUAACCCAAAAGCUCAGAAUACCCAGGAUACAACUCACAGACCAUAUGAAGCUUAAGAAGAGGAAGUCCAAAGUGUGGAUGCUUCAAUCCUACUUAGAAGGGGAAACAAAUUAAUCUUAAGAAAUGGAGGGAGAAACCUGGAAGGGAGCGAGGAUGGGGGAGGGGAAAUGGGGGGGCAGGAUCAGGUAUGGCAGGAGAUGAGGGAGAUGUACAGAGGGUCAGGGAACUGAAUAGAGGUAUGUAGCAGUGGGGUAUGAGGAACUGCGGGUAGCCACUAGAAAGUCCCAAAUGCCAGGGAAGCAAGAUAUUCCCAGGACACAUUGGGGAAGACAUUAGCAGACAUACCCAACAAAGGGAAGAUAGAUCCUGUAGAGACCAUCUAGUAGAUAGGCAUGGCCUCCAGUUGACAGAUGGGACCACCCACCCAUCUCAAAUAUUUUAACCCAGAACUGUUCCUUUCAAAAGGAAAUGCAGAAACAAAAAGUGGAGCAAAGACUGAAGGAAAGGCCAUCCAGAGACUGCCCCACCUGGGAAUCCAUCCUACCUUCAGACACAAAACCCAGGCACUAUUGCUGAUACCAAGAAGCACUUGGUGAGAGGAGCCUAGUUUAGCUGUCCCCUGAGAGGCUCUGCCAGCACCUGACCAAUACAAUGCAAGUUCUCACAGGCAACCACUGGACUGAGCCUGGGGACCACAAUGGAAGAGUUAGGAAAAGGAUUGAAGGAGCUGAAGAGGAUUGCAACCCCAUAGGGAGAACAACAAUAUCAACCAAUCUGAACAUCCAGAGCUCCCAGGGACUAAACCACCAACCAAAGAGUUCACAUGGAGGAACCCAAGACUCCAGCUACAUAUGUACCAGAGAAUUGCCUUAUCUGGCAUCAAUGGGAGUGGAGGCCUUUGGUCCUGUGGAGGCUUGACACCCCAGUGUAAGGGGAUACUAGAGUGGUGAGACAGGAAUGGACGGGGGU
rnacentral:lncRNA from 1 species